rnacentral:rRNA from 1 species
UAAGACGGACCGUACGAACGUUAUUCGGAAUUACUGGGCUUAAAGGGUGCGUAGGCGGCUCAGAAAGUUGAAUGUGAAAGCCCUCGGCUUAACCGAGGAAUUGCAUCCAAAACUACUGGGCUUGAGUGAGACAGAGGUGAGCGGAACUCACGGUGGAGCGGUGAAAUGCGUUGAUAUCGUGAGGAACACCGGUGGCGAAAGCGGCUCACUGGGUCUUUGCUGACGCUGAGGCACGAAAGCUAGGGUAGCGAACGGGAUUAGAUACCCCGGUAGUCCUAGCCGUAAACGAUGAGCACUGGAUCGGAGAGUCUUCCAUAACUUUCCGGUCGUAGCGAAAGUGUUAAGUGCUCCGCCUGGGGAGUAUGGCCGCAAGGCUG